CCUACGGGUGGCAGCAGGGAGGAAGAGGGGGCAAGGGACGAGAGUCUGAACCAGAGAAGGAGCGUGAAGGAUGACUGCCCUAUGGGUUGUAAACUUCUUUUAUAUGGGAAUAAAAUGUUCCACGUGUGGGAUUUUGUAUGUACCAUAUGAAUAAGGAUCGGCUAACUCCGUGCCAGCAGCCGCGGUAAUACGGAGGAUCCGAGCGUUAUCCGGAUUUAUUGGGUUUAAAGGGAGCGUAGGUGGAUUGUUAAGUCAGUUGUGAAAGUUUGCGGCUCAACCGUAAAAUUGCAGUUGAAACUGGCAGUCUUGAGUACAGUAGAGGUGGGCGGAAUGCGUGGUGUAGCGGUGAAAUGCUUAGAUAUCACGAAGAACUCCGAUUGCGAAGGCAGUUCACUGGACUGCAACUGACACUGAGGCUCGAAAGUGUGGGUAUCGAACAGGAUUAGAUACCCUGGUAGUC
rnacentral:rRNA from 1 species